UGCAAGUCGUACGAGAGUUUUUAACUCUAGUGGCGGACGGGUGAGUAACACGUGAGAAUUUACCUUUAGGAGGGGGAUAACAAUUGGAAACGAAUGCUAAUACCCCAUAUGCUUUUGAGUGAAAUGGAUUUAUAAUUAUCUGCCUAAAGAAAAGCUCGCGGCUGAUUAGCUUGUUGGUAAGGUAAGAGCUUACCAAGGCGACGAUCAGUAUCUGGUUUGAGAGGACGAUCAGACACACUGGAACUGAGACACGGUCCAGGCUCCUACGGGAGGCAGCAGUGGGGAAUUUUCCGCAAUGGGCGAAAGCCUGACGGAGCAAUACCGCGUGAGGGAAGAAUGCCUAUGGGUUGUAAACCUCUUUUUUCAGGGAGGAAUAAAAUGACGUGUACCUGAAGAAUAAGCAUCGGCUAACUCCGUGCCAGCAGCCGCGGUAAGACGGAGGAUGCAAGUGUUAUCCGGAAUCACUGGGCGUAAAGCGUCUGUAGGUGGUUUAAUAAGUCAACUGUUAAAUCUUGAGGCUCAACUUCAAAACCGCAGUCGAAACUAUUAGACUAGAGUAUAGUAGAGGUAAAGGGAAUUUCCAGUGGAGCGGUGAAAUGCGUAGAUAUUGGAAAGAACACCGAUGGCGAAAGCACUUUACUGGGCUAUUACUAACACUCAGAGACGAAAGCUAGGGUAGCAAAUGGGAUUAGAUACCCCA
rnacentral:rRNA from 1 species